AGAUUGAACGCUGGCGGCAGGCCUAACACAUGCAAGUCGAGCGGAAACGAGUUAUCUGAACCUUCGGGGGACGAUAACGGCGUCGAGCGGCGGACGGGUGAGUAAUGCCUAGGAAAUUGCCCUGAUGUGGGGGAUAACCAUUGGAAACGAUGGCUAAUACCGCAUAAUGCCUACGGGCCAAAGAGGGGGACCUUCGGGCCUCUCGCGUCAGGAUAUGCCUAGGUGGGAUUAGCUAGUUGGUGAGGUAAUGGCUCACCAAGGCGACGAUCCCUAGCUGGUCUGAGAGGAUGAUCAGCCACACUGGAACUGAGACACGGUCCAGACUCCUACGGGAGGCAGCAGUGGGGAAUAUUGCACAAUGGGCGCAAGCCUGAUGCAGCCAUGCCGCGUGUGUGAAGAAGGCCUUCGGGUUGUAAAGCACUUUCAGUCGUGAGGAAGGUGGUGUAGUUAAUAGCUGCAUUAUUUGACGUUAGCGACAGAAGAAGCACCGGCUAACUCCGUGCCAGCAGCCGCGGUAAUACGGAGGGUGCGAGCGUUAAUCGGAAUUACUGGGCGUAAAGCGCAUGCAGGUGGUUUGUUAAGUCAGAUGUGAAAGCCCGGGGCUCAACCUCGGAAUAGCAUUUGAAACUGGCAGACUAGAGUACUGUAGAGGGGGGUAGAAUUUCAGGUGUAGCGGUGAAAUGCGUAGAGAUCUGAAGGAAUACCGGUGGCGAAGGCGGCCCCCUGGACAGAUACUGACACUCAGAUGCGAAAGCGUGGGGAGCAAACAGGAUUAGAUACCCUGGUAGUCCACGCCGUAAACGAUGUCUACUUGGAGGUUGUGGCCUUGAGCCGUGGCUUUCGGAGCUAACGCGUUAAGUAGACCGCCUGGGGAGUACGGUCGCAAGAUUAAAACUCAAAUGAAUUGACGGGGGCCCGCACAAGCGGUGGAGCAUGUGGUUUAAUUCGAUGCAACGCGAAGAACCUUACCUACUCUUGACAUCCAGAGAACUUUCCAGAGAUGGAUUGGUGCCUUCGGGAACUCUGAGACAGGUGCUGCAUGGCUGUCGUCAGCUCGUGUUGUGAAAUGUUGGGUUAAGUCCCGCAACGAGCGCAACCCUUAUCCUUGUUUGCCAGCGAGUAAUGUCGGGAACUCCAGGGAGACUGCCGGUGAUAAACCGGAGGAAGGUGGGGACGACGUCAAGUCAUCAUGGCCCUUACGAGUAGGGCUACACACGUGCUACAAUGGCGCAUACAGAGGGCAGCAAGCUAGCGAUAGUGAGCGAAUCCCAAAAAGUGCGUCGUAGUCCGGAUUGGAGUCUGCAACUCGACUCCAUGAAGUCGGAAUCGCUAGUAAUCGUGGAUCAGAAUGCCACGGUGAAUACGUUCCCGGGCCUUGUACACACCGCCCGUCACACCAUGGGAGUGGGCUGCAAAAGAAGUAGGUAGUUUAACCUUCGGGAGGACGCUUACCACUUUGUGGUUCAUGAC
rnacentral:rRNA from 1 species